rnacentral:lncRNA from 1 species
UUGGGGUUUUUUUGUUUUGUUUUUUCUAAAUAUUAGUAUAAAAAAUAAUAGUAACAUUUAUAUAUGUUCCAAUGACUAAAGUACAUAAUAAAAGUACUAACCUUAGUAAAGGUAUUACAAAUAGAACAUUUAUAUCUAACAUAACAAUUUGCACAUGGAACAUCGGUGGCCUCAUCUCCGCAAAUCUGAAUAAAUUAACAGAUUCUAUUUUUUUUUUAAAUAAUAUAACAGCUUAUGAUAUAGUACUGUUAACUGAGACACAUAUUGGCAAAGAUGACACAAUUUUGACAGACAUAUAUAAACUAUUUAAUAAACUGUACUUUUCUUAAAUAUUUGAAAAACGUG